UAACCUGCCCAAGAGAUCGGGAUAACACCUGGAAACAGAUGCUAAUACCGGAUAACAACAGAUGAUGCCUAUCAACUGUUUAAAAGAUGGUUCUGUUAUCACUCUUGGAUGGACCUGCGGUGCAUUAGCUAGUUGGUAGGGUAACGGCCUACCAAGGCGAUGAUGCAUAGCCGAGUUGAGAGACUGAUCGGCCACAUUGGGACUGAGACACGGCCCAAACUCCUACGGGAGGCAGCAGCU
rnacentral:rRNA from 1 species